GAUUGCAGAGAUAAAAACACGAUCCGGUAGGUAGUCCGGAUGCAGCUAUGCUGUCAGUAACCUGCCCUCCUGGGGUUGUCCCUUCUCAAAAAAUGCACA
rnacentral:ncRNA from 1 species